AUCCCAGUGAAAUAUGCCCUAGUAAAACACACGGAGCAGGUAUCAGGCACGAAUACUCAGCCCAAGACACCAAGCCAUGCCACACCCACACGGGCUCUCAGCAGUGAUAGACAUUAAGCAAUAAGCGAAACCUACCUCAAGCUUGACUUAGUUAUGAUUAACAGGGCCGGUCAACCUCGUGCCAGCCACCGCGGUUAUACGAGGGGCCCAAAGCAGCACAACCACGGCGUAAAUCGUGAUUAGAAUACUUACCAAAACCUAAAAGCUAAACAAUGCCCAAGCCGUAAAACGCAGGCCAAAUGAAACCACAAAACUUUUACAUAUGGGUAAUUUGACUCACGAAAACUAAGAAACAAACUAGGAUUAGAUACCCUACUAUGCUUAGUCAUUAAUAUGGUAUUUUAACACAUAAAAUACCCGCCAGAAGACUACGAGCGAAAAGCUUAAAACUCAAAGGACUUGGCGGUGCUCCAUCCGACUUAGAGGAGCCUGUCCUAUAAUCGAUACUCCACGCUAAACCUUACCAUUCAUUGCCAAAAACAGCCUAUAUACCGCCGUCGCCAACUUACCCCAUGAGGACUCAACAGUAAGUACAACAGUUAACUAACUAAAACGUCAGGUCAAGGUGUAGCUUAUAGAAUGGAAGAGAUGGGCUACAUUUUUUAAAAUAAAAUAAACGGCAUGAAACUAUGAAACUAGCUUCUAAAGGAGGAUUUAACAGUAAAAUUACUAAGAAAGCUAAUUUUAAACACG
rnacentral:rRNA from 1 species